rnacentral:rRNA from 1 species
UACGUAGGGGGCAAGCGUUGUCCGGAAUCAUUGGGCGUAAAGAGCGUGUAGGCGGUUCGGUAAGUCCGCUGUGAAAGUCCAGGGCUCAACCCUGGAAUGCCGGUGGAAACUGUCGAGCUAGAGUCCGGAAGAGGCGAGUGGAAUUCCUGGUGUAGCGGUGAAAUGCGCAGAUAUCAGGAGGAACACCAAUUGCGAAGGCAGCUCGCUGGGACGGUACUGACGCUGAGACGCGAAAGCGUGGGGAGCAAACAGG